AAAAAAAUGAAGAUCUGUACAAGAUCAGAACUAAGGAUGGAAAGGUGGAUAAAUUAUAUUUCAGUUAGUUUUGUAUCUUUUAUUUAUUUGUUACUAUUUAGAGAAUCUCAAAAUUUGAUAAUGAAAAAAUAUAUUUUUGUAGAUCAGAAUUUGACAUUUGUUGGGAGAAGUUCCCGAUGCUUGAAGAGAUACCAUAUACAGAUAUUUUUUUGAGGACAGCAGCUAGGAAAGUGGCAAUGGUACCUCAAAUGUUCACAUAUUGUGUUUGCAAGAAAGAAUGCAUUUUAAAAAGAUGCUUGUGCAAGAAGAAGUGAAUUUUCUGCAACUCUAAAUGUUAUAACAGUU
rnacentral:lncRNA from 1 species